UUAAGCGACUAAGCGUACACGGUGGAUGCCCUGGCAGUCAGAGGCGAUGAAGGACGUGCUAAUCUGCGAAAAGCGUCGGUAAGGUGAUAUGAACCGUUAUAACCGGCGAUUUCCGAAUGGGGAAACCCAGUGCAAUUCGUUGCACUAUCGUUAACUGAAUACAUAGGUUAACGAGGCGAACCGGGGGAACUGAAACAUCUAAGUACCCCGAGGAAAAGAAAUCAACCGAGAUUCCCCCAGUAGCGGCGAGCGAACGGGGAGCAGCCCAGAGUCUGAAUCAGCUUGUGUGUUAGUGGAACGGUCUGGAAAGUCCGACGGUACAGGGUGAUAGUCCCGUACACCAAAAUGCACAGGCUGUGAACUCGAAGAGUAGGGCGGGACACGUGGUAUCCUGUCUGAAUAUGGGGGGACCAUCCUCCAAGGCUAAAUACUCCUGACUGACCGAUAGUGAACCAGUACCGUGAGGGAAAGGCGAAAAGAACCCCGGCGAGGGGAGUGAAAAAGAACCUGAAACCGUGUACGUACAAGCAGUGGGAGCCUCUUUAUGGGGUGACUGCGUACCUUUUGUAUAAUGGGUCAGCGACUUAUAUUCUGUAGCAAGGUUAACCGUAUAGGGGAGCCGAAGGGAAACCGAGUCUUAACUGGGCGUUAAGUUGCAGGGUAUAGACCCGAAACCCGGUGAUCUAGCCAUGGGCAGGUUGAAGGUUGGGUAACACUAACUGGAGGACCGAACCGACUAAUGUUGAAAAAUUAGCGGAUGACUUGUGGCUGGGGGUGAAAGGCCAAUCAAACCGGGAGAUAGCUGGUUCUCCCCGAAAGCUAUUUAGGUAGCGCCUCGUGAAUUCAUCUUCGGGGGUAGAGCACUGUUUCGGCUAGGGGGUCAUCCCGACUUACCAACCCGAUGCAAACUACGAAUACCGAAGAAUGUUAUCACGGGAGACACACGGCGGGUGCUAACGUCCGUCGUGAAGAGGGAAACAACCCAGACCGCCAGCUAAGGUCCCAAAGUCAUGGUUAAGUGGGAAACGAUGUGGGAAGGCACAGACAGCCAGGAUGUUGGCUUAGAAGCAGCCAUCAUUUAAAGAAAGCGUAAUAGCUCACUGGUCGAGUCGGCCUGCGCGGAAGAUGUAACGGGGCUAAACCAUGCACCGAAGCUGCGGCAGCGACACUAUGUGUUGUUGGGUAGGGGAGCGUUCUGUAAGCCGUUGAAGGUGUGCUGUGAGGCAUGCUGGAGGUAUCAGAAGUGCGAAUGCUGACAUAAGUAACGAUAAAGCGGGUGAAAAGCCCGCUCGCCGGAAGACCAAGGGUUCCUGUCCAACGUUAAUCGGGGCAGGGUGAGUCGACCCCUAAGGCGAGGCCGAAAGGCGUAGUCGAUGGGAAACAGGUUAAUAUUCCUGUACUUGGUGUUACUGCGAAGGGGGGACGGAGAAGGCUAUGUUAGCCGGGCGACGGUUGUCCCGGUUUAAGCAUGUAGGCGGAGGUUCCAGGUAAAUCCGGUUCCUUGUUAACGCUGAGGUGUGAUGACGAGGCACUACGGUGCUGAAGUAACAAAUGCCCUGCUUCCAGGAAAAGCCUCUAAGCAUCAGGUAACAUCAAAUCGUACCCCAAACCGACACAGGUGGUCAGGUAGAGAAUACCAAGGCGCUUGAGAGAACUCGGGUGAAGGAACUAGGCAAAAUGGUGCCGUAACUUCGGGAGAAGGCACGCUGGUGUGUAGGUGAAGUCCCUGCGGAUGGAGCUGAGACCAGUCGAAGAUACCAGCUGGCUGCAACUGUUUAUUAAAAACACAGCACUGUGCAAACACGAAAGUGGACGUAUACGGUGUGACGCCUGCCCGGUGCCGGAAGGUUAAUUGAUGGGGUUAGCGGUAACGCGAAGCUCUUGAUCGAAGCCCCGGUAAACGGCGGCCGUAACUAUAACGGUCCUAAGGUAGCGAAAUUCCUUGUCGGGUAAGUUCCGACCUGCACGAAUGGCGUAAUGAUGGCCAGGCUGUCUCCACCCGAGACUCAGUGAAAUUGAACUCGCUGUGAAGAUGCAGUGUACCCGCGGCAAGACGGAAAGACCCCGUGAACCUUUACUAUAGCUUGACACUGAACAUUGAGCCUUGAUGUGUAGGAUAGGUGGGAGGCUUUGAAGUGUGGACGCCAGUCUGCAUGGAGCCAACCUUGAAAUACCACCCUUUAACGUUUGAUGUUCUAACCUAGGCCCAUAAACUGGGUCGGGGACCGUGUCUGGUGGGUAGUUUGACUGGGGCGGUCUCCUCCUAAAGAGUAACGGAGGAGCACGAAGGUUGGCUAAGCAUGGUCGGACAUCAUGCGGUUAGUGCAAAGGCAUAAGCCAGCUUGACUGCGAGAGUGACGGCUCGAGCAGGUACGAAAGUAGGUCUUAGUGAUCCGGUGGUUCUGAAUGGAAGGGCCAUCGCUCAACGGAUAAAAGGUACUCCGGGGAUAACAGGCUGAUACCGCCCAAGAGUUCAUAUCGACGGCGGUGUUUGGCACCUCGAUGUCGGCUCAUCACAUCCUGGGGCUGAAGUAGGUCCCAAGGGUAUGGCUGUUCGCCAUUUAAAGUGGUACGCGAGCUGGGUUUAGAACGUCGUGAGACAGUUCGGUCCCUAUCUGCCGUGGGCGCUGGAGAAUUGAGGGGGGCUGCUCCUAGUACGAGAGGACCGGAGUGGACGCAUCACUGGUGUUCGGGUUGUCAUGCCAAUGGCACUGCCCGGUAGCUAAAUGCGGAAGAGAUAAGUGCUGAAAGCAUCUAAGCACGAAACUUGCCCCGAGAUGAGUUCUCCCUGAGACUUUAAGUCUCCUGAAGGAACGUUGAAGACUACGACGUUGAUAGGUCGGGUGUGUAAGUGUAGCGAUACAUUGAGCUAACCGAUACUAAUGAACCGUGAGGCUUAACCUU
rnacentral:rRNA from 1 species